AUUGAACGCUGGCGGCAUGCUUUACACAUGCAAGUCGAACGGUAACAGGCCGCAAGGUGCUGACGAGUGGCGAACGGGUGAGUAAUGCAUCGGAACGUGCCCGGUCGUGGGGGAUAACUGCUCGAAAGAGCAGCUAAUACCGCAUACGAUCUAUGGAUGAAAGCGGGGGACCGUAAGGCCUCGCGCGAUUGGAGCGGCCGAUGCCAGAUUAGGUAGUUGGUGGGGUAAAGGCUCACCAAGCCAACGAUCUGUAGCUGGUCUGAGAGGACGACCAGCCACACUGGGACUGAGACACGGCCCAGACUCCUACGGGAGGCAGCAGUGGGGAAUUUUGGACAAUGGGGGCAACCCUGAUCCAGCAAUGCCGCGUGCAGGAAGAAGGCCUUCGGGUUGUAAACUGCUUUUGUACGGAACGAAACGGUCUGGGUUAAUACCCUGGGCUAAUGACGGUACCGUAAGAAUAAGCACCGGCUAACUACGUGCCAGCAGCCGCAGUAACAC
rnacentral:rRNA from 1 species